GAUGAACGCUGGCGGCGUGCUUAACACGUGCAAGUCGAACGAUGAAGCUGGAGCUUGCUCUGGUGGAUUAGUGGCGAACGGGUGAGUAACACGUGAGCAACCUGCCCCUGACUCUGGGAUAACAGCCGGAAACGGCUGCUAAUACCGGAUAUGCACCAUGAACGCAUGUUCUGUGGUGGGAAAGAUUUUUCGGUUGGGGAUGGGCUCGCGGCCUAUCAGCUUGUUGGUGAGGUAAUGGCUCACCAAGGCGUCGACGGGUAGCCGGCCUGAGAGGGUGACCGGCCACACUGGGACUGAGACACGGCCCAGACUCCUACGGGAGGCAGCAGUGGGGAAUAUUGCACAAUGGGCGAAAGCCUGAUGCAGCAACGCCGCGUGAGGGAUGACGGCCUUCGGGUUGUAAACCUCUUUUAGCAGGGAAGAAGCGAGAGUGACGGUACCUGCAGAAAAAGCGCCGGCUAACUACGUG
rnacentral:rRNA from 1 species